AGGGAGAACCAUAGGAGACUCUUAGUGGAGCAGAGUAAGCAUGGGUUGCUCCUGGAGACAAAAAGGACUCCGGAAGAAGGGGACCUGACUGGAGGAGCAGGGCAGGUUGGAGGAGGAGGAGCCGGCAAUCCUUGCAUCAGACUGGCCCUGAGCUAACAUCCGUGCCCAUCUUCCUCUACUUUAUAUGUGGGAUGGCUGCCACAGCAUGGCAUGCCAAGCGGUGCCAUGUCCCCACCUGGGAUCAAACCAGCGCACCCCAGGCUGCUGAAGUGGAACAUGUGAACUUAACCACUGGGCCACGGGGCUGGCCCCUUUACCUUCCUUUAAUCUGCCUCUAGGCGGAGUUCAACAUUCUUCUCUUGGAGGAAGAGCUCAAGAACCAGUGGAAUUCUCACAGCCACC
rnacentral:lncRNA from 1 species